rnacentral:rRNA from 1 species
CCUACGGGGGGCUGCAGUGGGGAAUAUUGGACAAUGGGGGCAACCCUGAUCCAGCCAUGCCGCGUGUGUGAAGAAGGCCCUCGGGUUGUAAAGCACUUUCAGUGAGGAAGAACGCCUGGUGGUUAAUACCCAUCAGGAAAGACAUCACUCACAGAAGAAGCACCGGCUAACUCCGUGCCAGCAGCCGCGGUAAUACGGAGGGUGCGAGCGUUAAUCGGAAUUACUGGGCGUAAAGCGCGCGUAGGUGGCUUGAUAAGCCGGUUGUGAAAGCCCCGGGCUCAACCUGGGAACGGCAUCCGGAACUGUCAGGCUGGGGUGCAGGAGAGGAAGUAGAAUUCCCGGUGUAGCGGUGAAAUGCGUAGAGAUCGGGAGGAAUACCAGUGGCGAAGGCGGCCUUCUGGACUGACACUGACACUGAGGUGCGAAAGCGUGGGUAGCAAACAGGAUUAGAUACCCUGGUAGUC